rnacentral:rRNA from 1 species
AUUGAACGCUGGCGGCAGGCCUAACACAUGCAAGUCGAGCGAGAGGCGGACGGGUGAGUAAUGUCUGGGAAACUGCCUGAUGGAGGGGGAUAACUACUGGAAACGGUAGCUAAUCCCGCAUACCAUCAGAUGUGCCCAGAUGGGAUUAGCUGGUAGGUGGGGUAAUGGCUCACCUAGGCGACGAUCCCUAGCUGGUCUGAGAGGAUGACCACCCAAACUGGAACGGAGACAGGGUCCAGACUCCUACGGGAGGGAGCAGUGGGGAAUAUUUCACAAGGGGCACAGGCCUGAUGCAGCCAUGCCGGGGGUGUGAAGAAGGCCUUCGGGUUGUAAAGCACUUUCAGCGGGAGGCGUUACCCGCAGAAGAAGCACCGGCUAACUCCGUGCCAGCAGCCGCGGUAAUAC